rnacentral:rRNA from 1 species
UGGGGAAUCUUGCACAAUGGGCGAAAGCCUGAUGCAGCAACGCCGCGUGCGGGAAGACAGCCCUAGGGUUGUAAACCGCUUUCAGCAGGGAAGAAACUGACGGUACCUGCAGAAGAAGAUGCGGCCAACUACGUGCCAGCAGCCGCGGUGACACGUAGGCAUCAAGCGUUAUCCGGAUUUAUUGGGCGUAAAGAGCUCGUAGGCGGUUCGGUAAGUCGGGUGUGAAAACUCUGGGCUCAACCCAGAGAGGCCACUCGAUACUGCUGUGACUAGAGUGCGGUAGGGGGAGCGGGGAAUUCCUGGUGUAGCGGUGAAAUGCGCAGAUAUCAGGAGGAACACCAGUGGCGAAGGCGCCGCUCUGGGCCGUAACUGACGCUGAGGAGCGAAAGCAUGGGUAGCAAACAGGAUUAGAUACCCUGGUAGUCCAUGCCGUAAACGUUGGGCACUAGGUGUGGGUCUCAACCGAACGAGAUCCGCGCCGUCGCUAACGCA